UGGCUACAUCACGUUGAAACAUCAGUUCCCGUACGAUUACCGAAGUUAAACGGCAUUGACUCUGGUCAGUACCUAGAUUGGUGACCGCUGAAGAAUACCAGGUGCUGUAA